GUGGUCGGAGUUCCCCAAAAUAGGCAUUUUUUAUCCUUUUUUGUGUAGAUUGUGGAUCUAGGGUUAGAUCCUCUGGAAUCUAGUUAAAACUCGACUGGAAAUGAAGAAACCUUUCGACUCCUCUUCUCCGAUGAAGUCGUCAACGGUGGUGGAAGAUGAACAGGUAAAAAAACUUAAACUUUUUGUUUUAUUUUUCUUAUAUUUUUCAAAACAAGAAGAAAGAAAAAGAAAAACAAAAUAGGACUACCUUCGUAUUUUCUUUUUAACUUUGUUGUUCUUUUUUUUUUGUAUUCGAUUUUUUCUAUCCAAACGUUACCUGUGAUGGCUGUGGCUUUUAUAGCCAAACUAUAAUAUUUAUUUUUGUUUCUUUUCUGUUCUCUGCUCUGUCUUCUGCUUUCUUUUUUUUGCAGGUAUUUCACGACGAUGGCAAAGACUUUUCGGUCAAUUAUGGUGGGGAGAUGUGCCUUUGCCAUUUCAGGUGAAAUGAUGGCAGGGGCAAACCUUGGGCGACGUGCCUAUUGACGUGGAGAGGAGCGGUGGCGGCUAGUGAGGUCUUAGAGGUGGCUAGGGUUCCUUAUUUAGUUUUUAGGUUUUGGGCUUUGAGCUUUUAGGGUUUUUAGGUUAGCAGAUUCAAUAUUUAGGGUUUUGGGCUUGUAAAUGGACUUUUAUUAUUUUUAUUUAUUUGUUUUUGUUUGUUUUUGUCUGGGCUGUACAUGUUUGGGCCAUUAUAAGUGGCAAACGCCAUCAAACUUUUCAAAAACUGUUUUUCACCACAUUUUUAAAAAAUACUUUUCA
rnacentral:lncRNA from 1 species